rnacentral:rRNA from 1 species
AUUGAACGCUGGCGGCAUGCCUUACACAUGCAAGUCGAACGGCAGCAUGGAAGAGCUUGCUCUUCUGAUGGCGAGUGGCGAACGGGUGAGUAAAGCAUCGGAACGUACCGUGUAGUGGGGGAUAACGUAGCGAAAGUUACGCUAAUACCGCAUACGCACUGAGGUGGAAAGCAGGGGAUCGCAAGACCUUGCGCUAUACGAGCGGCCGAUGUCAGAUUAGCUAGUUGGUAGGGUAAAGGCCUACCAAGGCGACGAUCUGUAGCGGGUCUGAGAGGAUGAUCCGCCACACUGGGACUGAGACACGGCCCAGACUCCUACGGGAGGCAGCAGUGGGGAAUUUUGGACAAUGGGCGAAAGCCUGAUCCAGCCAUGCCGCGUGAGUGAAGAAGGCCUUCGGGUUGUAAACCUCUGUCAUUAGGGAAGAAGAAAGUGACGGUACCUAAUGAGGAAGCCCCGGCUAACUACGUG